ACCCCUUGCCCAACUCGCGUUAGCACAUUUGAGAAGGAAGUAGAGGUGUUCGUAUAAAACCCGACUGAAAAUGUUAUCACUCUGACGAUGGGUACUACUUUUGACUCGCUGGGUGAAGCACAAAAUCUCUACAACUUGUAUUCUUUGGAGAAGGGGCUUGGGAUUAUGUAUGGUAUAAAAGCCAACUCAAUGUUGAGAGCACGAAGUGUAUUCAAGAAAUUGUCUGCAAAUGCUCGGUAA
rnacentral:rRNA from 1 species